GAUGAACGCUGGCGGCGUGCCUAAUACAUGCAAGUCGAGCGAAUGGAUUAAGAGCUUGCUCUUAUGAAGUUAGCGGCGGACGGGUGAGUAACACGUGAGUAACCUGCCCUUGACUCUGGGAUAACUGCGGGAAACUGUAGCUAAUACCGGAUACGACCCUCGGAGGCAUCUCCUGGGGGUGGAAAGAAUUUCGGUCAAGGAUGGACUCGCGGCCUAUCAGCUAGUUGGUGAGGUAAAGGCUCACCAAGGCGACGACGGGUAGCCGGCCUGAGAGGGUGACCGGCCACAUUGGGACUGAGACACGGCCCAGACUCCUACGGGAGGCAGCAGUGGGGAAUAUUGCACAAUGGGCGCAAGCCUGAUGCAGCAACGCCGCGUGAGGGAUGACGGCCUUCGGGUUGUAAACCUCUUUUAGCAGGGAAGAAGCGAAAGUGACGGUACCUGCAGAAAAAGCACCGGCUAACUACGUGCCAGCAGCCGCCGUAA
rnacentral:rRNA from 1 species